GAUCCUUCUAAAGGGAAAAGAAAGGUACUGGGUGAAUUCGAGCCAAUUACAGAUUUCAAAGUAUCCUACUCCCCUAGGAGUUUUACCUCUGAUUCUAAAUAGUUAUUAAUCCCUCGUCAUAACAAGGAUUAGAUUCUUAGAUUUUCUCGAUGCAUCAUCUUGUAUCCAGGGCAGCAAAAUUUGCAUAAGCUUACUUUAAUCAGUCUUAGAAAAGGCUCGUGGAGGAGCCUAUCCCUAUACAGAGGAAAAAAUGAUUGACGCUUAUUUCAUACGAGCUAUUGUUCUACACCACAAUCAAUAAGCUGAAUAUGAGGCUUGCAUUUUGCAGGUGUCAAUCUAGACAAAAAGGUUAACUCUUUGAAAAAGAGAUACCAGGUCCUUCAAAGAAAAUUAGAGAGUCCAUAAACAAAAAGGCCAGACAUAAUGAGAUGAGCAAGGGUAAUCAGGAUAUUUCUUUAAGUGGGAUCGUGGCUACUUCUAAGCUUG
rnacentral:lncRNA from 1 species